CCCGGCGCCACCUUCGAGUUACACCCGCCGAGAAGAGCAAUAGGGUCUGCGUCUGGAGCUCCGACAGGGUCGUCGUCAGCUUUGAGAGGGCGUGUUACUCGAUAGUAACUCCCAAAUGAAGAAGAGAUAAAAAGGAAGAAGCUGAAGGAUGAUGGGAGUAGGAAGGAAGAGAAGAAAAGAAGAAGGCAAAAACCAACCAACCGAACACCACUAUCACCACCAAAAAAAAGAGGUGGGAAAUGAACAGGGAUGAAAGUUUCAAGCAGGUGGCUUUGGGGCCAUGAGCCCAGCCCCUGGCCAGCACACACCCCAGAGCUUUGUGGGAAUUACAAACAGGUGGACCUUCCUCCAGCUGGUGCAGACCUACCCAGGGCCGCCACGUGACUACCUGAGCACAGACCGGCUUCCAGUCCCCGGUGCACCCUUGUCUAGGCACCUCUGUGCCCACGGAAUAACACAAACGGACUAAACAACACAAUGAGAGGGCUUGGAUUGCUCUGCCUGGUGGCGUGGCUGUUUCUGUGCACCCCACGGAUCUCAUCUCUCUGUAGCCAGGGCCGUGCAUUCGUCCCCCCGUGGCACCUGGCACAUGGAAUUGACUCGCCAUUUCUAAAAUGAAACUGACUUGCAGUAUACGGAAACCAGACGGAAGGGGGGGCCCACAGGAACCCGUGCGUGGGCAGAGCAUUAGCAUCUCAGAGCACGAGAUCCGCAGAGUGUGGUAUCACCAUCGGGUCACUGCAAGCAAAGCUCACGUACUUGAAAACAAAAUCAGCAGCCUCACACAAAGAGUUGGACCAACAUUGGAAGUUCUGCCAUCGAGUGGACCCACAGAGCCCCAGAGAGUACAGUGGCUUCUGUCUGCACACAGGCAGCGAAUCCCCAGAAGAGACACCUGGCUGAAUGCCUGUGGAAAGCUUCUAAGCACCAGAUUCCUGAAGAGAUGCCUCUUUCAGGUGUCUUCUGAUAAAAGACUUUUCAGUGGGAGGCCCAGGCUUGCCUCUGUGCAAGAACCAGAAUUCUGAGGAUGUUAGCUGCAUUAUUCUGCUCAGGCUGCCAUAACAAAGUACCUCACACUGGGUGUCUUAACCAACAGAAGUUUAUUUUCCCACAAUUCCGAAGGCUGGAAGUCCAAGGUCAAAGUGUUGGCAGGUUUUGUGUCUUCUGAGGACUCUUUUUUGGGGGCACCUGGGUGGCUCAGUCAGUUACUCAUCCAACUCUUGGUUUCGGCUCAGGUCAUGAUCUCGCAGUUUGUGAGUUAGAGCCCCACAUCAGGCUCCGUGCUGACAGUGUGGAGCCUGCUUGGGAUUCUCUCUCUGCCUCUCUCUCAAAAUCAAUCAAUCAAUCAAUCAAUCAAUCAAACUCAGGACUCUUUUUGUCCUUGGCUUUAGACAGCUUUUCCCUGUAUCCUCACAUGGCCUUCCCUCUGUACCCGUCUAUGUCGGAAUCUCCUGUUCUUGUAAGGACACCAGUCAUGUUGGAGUAGGGGCCGCCAUAUGGCCUCAUUUUAUCAUAAUUACCUCAUUAAAGCUCUGUCUCCAAAUACAGUCACAUUGUGAGGCACUGGGAGUUAGGACUCCAACAUAUGGAUUUGGGACAUUGAAGUAAACAGAGGGGUCAACGCCACUUAAGGUUGUAACUUACUGGGCAAGACUAGAAGAGUGUACAAAAGAGUGUUUUUGAGGAGAAAAGGAGGAUUAUGUGCAGGAAAUGUCCUAGAGGCUCUGCUUAAUGAGACCUCACUGAAACCUCCUUAACCCUCACUUAAACAGCCACCUUACAAGGCAGUUUUUCAUCUUCUUGUGUAGUGUUGUUUCCCUUUCCUUUUUGACUUUUCUGUCUUAUUCUGAUGGUGGUUGUUAAGUCUGCUAAAGAACAUAACUUACACUUGUUCACUCUCAUUUUGAAGUUUUCUCUUGCAUUCACUGAACCGUGGUAAAAAUGCAUAUAAACCUGU